rnacentral:sRNA from 1 species
GAAUGUGUAUGUAUAAGGGUGAACAAUGAAGUGAUGUCUUAUUUGCCUUAACUGAUCUUUGCAGUUAGCUGUUUGCGGGUAUAAUCAUAAACAAUCCUGCCUUAGUAUCGAAUGGAUUCUCUCAGCAAGGGAUCGUAAGCCCAAGAACCAGAGCCGCCUCCAGCCUUCCCUUUUCUCACCCGGCUCAUGCCAGCGCCGAGAGACGGAGCAGAGUGGUAAAUACUUCUUGAAGAAUUGUACCUGCCCCUCUGACCAGGAGUGGAAGUAAUUGUACUGAAGAAAUUGGUCUGGUGCAUUAACAACCAGUUUCAGCCGGCCCGAGUGCUGCUUCACAGCGCUGCUUUUCUCCUGUUUGCUCCUUCUCAAGUCUCAAGUCUCUUUCUAUAGCCUGCGGCUAAGCUGAACGCGACAGUCGGCUCUGCUCCCACUCUGCUCAUUCAGUUCUGCCUACAGCAGUUUUCCUAGGGAGCUUUCCUUCCCUCCGCCCCCACCACCUGCGCCUGCGCUGAGCCGAUCCGGAAGACAAACCCCCAGCUUUGUCGUUAUCCUGCAAGACUAACUGCAACGGAAUAAAGCAGGACUUCAAAGGACCGACUACGAAUCCAAUGAAAGAAUGCUAAGAGUGUAUUGAGAAUCAACAACAGGCAAUUAAUUUUCUCCUAAAACUGAAAGAGAAUCAUUGCCCACCAUAAGUCAACUUCAAGUCUGUGGAAAAGAACCGUGUCCUAACCUUUGAGGGGUGAUAGUCGCAACGAAGGUGAAAUUGUAGACUGCUGGACUUUGUUGUUCCAGCCUCCACUUCAUCUCCUUUCAUUUAUUUCAUUUCGUACCAAGAUGAACAGCUGAAUUACUUGACGCUUAGACUUCCUAGGCCCGUCCACGUUUCCCACAUAUGAGACAUAAUGUAUAUAAAGUGCUUCAUACAAGGCCUGCUGCAUGGUGAGCACUCAGCAAGUGUUAGCUCUGACAUUCAUAUACAUUAAAGCUAUGCUAUCUGGAUUGCGGGAGUCAGCUUCCGUGCUUAGCGCUGUAUUGAUGCCUGCGUGGGUGGCAGUGAUCUUCAUUAUCCGACGUGCGUCUGCUUCUCUCUUUCCUAGUCAGCUCACUGAGGUGAGAUGCUCUGCACCAUCUCCAGGCUCACCCUGGAAGGUAUUAUAGCCUCAGCUAGCACCCUUACAGACACUAGCAGCAAGGGUGCUUUCCAUACACUGGGCGCCAGGCAAAUGCUGCCGCCUGACGGCUUGAUCGAGCGUCCCAUUUGAAUCGUUCACUGCAGCAAACCCUGAAGUUCCUUUUCUACCUCUCUUGUCAUCCAGAACUGUCUUCCUAGAUCUCCUGCCUCAUUUCACCCUGUCUUCCUUUUUCUAGAUCUUUCUGUUUCAUGUUCCUCCCCAGACUUUCAUUUAAAAAAAAAUUCAGGACACAGACAUUAGUUUGUUCUAGAAAAUAUUUCCCCCUUGCUUCUAUAUCUUAAUUUCGCUAAACCUAUUUCCUCUGCUGCCUAGCAGUAUAAAUGAGACCAUAGUUCACCGUGUGACUUAUAAGAUGAAACACUCCAUUCAGAGUAACGGAACACAUACUUGAAGGCAGGCACCGACUCUGAAGAGAAGCCUUCUCGAUGCCUCUCAUCUGUGAGGUUGCGUUGGGGUGGAUGUUGUUAGAGGCAAUCAGCACGUGCAGCAGGCUGGGCGGGAUGGAACCUCUGCCAUCUGGAGGAGGAAGAUUCAGACGUGGAGAAGAAUCUCUGGGGUUAUGGAGUUCACAGUCCUGUGCCUUCAUUUUGCCUUAGUCUCUGAAGUGAGUGUUUUAAGUGACAGGCAUCAGCCAGAAAGUGCAGAAGAGAAAGAACUGAUGCCAUGGGCGCUCUCCGAGGGAAGCAGGUAAGUCAGGCAGCCUCAGGGUUCACAAAUACUUCUCUUGCAGCGGUAAACCAAGUUUGUCCUAAUUAGAGUAUUUUGUUGUAUUUUCAUACAUAUAAUAAUCUAGUUUAUCUGCAAGUAAUUCAUUUACAAUUCAAUUAAACGACCAAGGAGAAUAAAAUGCUAAAAUAAACAUGUGUUCAAAUAAGAUGCACUGUGUAUAAUUAGACACAACACAUAGGCCUGUCUUAGCAUUUGAUUUGCGUGAUAAUACAAAUAGGUCACUUGAGGAUAUGCCAAAUAUCAGAGAUUAGCUGACCUCUGUGUUCCGGCCAAGCUGGAGAGGAUGAUUUUGUGAUCUGAAUGAAAAAUGAAAAAAAAAAAUCAGUGUGUUAUCCAAAUGUUUACAAGAAUCCAGCUGUUUGAUGUCAGGUAGUCAGAACACUGGAUAACUGACAGAGCCAUUUCACUUUCAUCCAGAUGUUUCUGCAUUGUGUUGAUUUACCCUGACACAUACCAAAGUUGAGUCACUUCCUUGGGAUCCAUGACAAAAUCUUCUUAGUACACUGGCAAUAAAACUGCUUGGAGGUGCGCUAUUUCCGUAUCACCAGCACAAACGCUUUGCUACUGCCCCAGACACGAGAAUGGUCCAUUCAUUUCUCUUUAUUCUCCAUGUCUUUGCUCUCCUCACUGCCCACCACCCAAGGUCUGUGUUAACCCGGGCUGUGACCCAUGACAAAGUGGACUCCUCCAUCACAGGACUGUGCAGUGUGGCCUUUGUCUUGCAGGCUGCUUCCCUUCACAGCAAUCACCAUCUCUCUGGGACAUCACUAUCUGGGCUGGCCGGAUCAGGAUUCCAGAGCAUCCCAAGGUUGAUUGCGGUAUAGGCAAUCACAGCCACCAUUCAUCCUCCCAUUAUCACGGUCAAUAAUACAAGUCAUCGAGAUUUGGCUGUGAUUCACAGGCCUGGCUGAAGUGACGGACGCUGACCCAGAGUCCUAGCCACACGCUCAUAAAUCUCACUGCGGCUCUCGGCUCUGCAGCUGGAGCUGCUGUAUGCAGAGCCCGUGAUGCUUGCAAAUCAGCCUCUUUGACUCAGCUUCUUCCGGUUGCCUUGACUCCGGGGAAUCUACCAGUGCCUGAUUGCUGCCUGUCUCCAGCCCAUCUGGUACCUCUCAGGGCCAAGAUGUCUUAGGCUGGACCAGUCAUCUUGAAAUUGAACCUUCCUCUGUCACCUCUCUUAGCUUCUUUGCCCCCAAUCCCCAAAGCCACGUUCCCUUUAGCAUGGUCUCCCUCAGGUGUCUGCUCAGACUAUGCUCUCAAUCUACCCAGAGGCAACAUGAGCAGGGGUUCUGGAGACAUUGAGAAAAUUGCACCUCUGUGGGCCAUGUUCCCCUAAUCCUGACAUGACAGUGUUGGACUAAAUCAGGCGUGAGGUCCCCUCCAGUUCUAAAAUCACACCAUCUUCCUAAUACCAUGAGACUGGCUGCCUUCCCAGGGAUGAUUGCUCAUCAGUUUACCUCGUUAUUACACAGAGAUAUUCGGAGGUGGGGAUGGGGAAGAAAAACAAGGCUCCAGGAUCAGCAUCUUGAAAACUUGUCUGAUAACUCUCUCACCUUUAUGUGCACAGGAAAGCUUAGAGCUCCGAAUGCCGUGACCUGUAAGUCCAAGAUGGGAGCAACAGGGAAAGACUUCCUGCACCCAAGAACCAGAGGAAUAAGAGUGAACUGGGAAGACAGACAGACAGACAGACAGGACCAGAAGGUGGUUGUUUCUAGGUGGCUGCCAGGAAACAGUGUUCCCAUGGAGCAAACAAUCAACACUUUCUCUGGAAUUUGAAUUUACUAACUAUACAUGGACUGAACACCUAAUGAAGGAAGGAAGGGAGGAAAGAGGAAGAUGAAAGGGAAGAAGGAAGAGAAAGAGGAAGGAAGAAGGAAGGGAGGAAGGAGGAAGGGAGGAAGGAAAGAAAGAGGAAGAUGAAAGGGAAGAAGGAAGAGAAAGAGGAAGGAAGAAGGAAAGGAGGAAGGGAGGAAGGAAAGAGGGAGAAAGGAAAGUGGAAGGAAGGGAGAAGGAAGAAAGGAAGGGAGGAAGGAAGCUUAGUAUGCAAACUGUGGAAGCUUCCAGAGUUGAGAUUUGCAGAUGAACAAUCUUUGUAUUGUAUUGAGCACUUGUCCCUUUCCAACGAGGGACAAAUAUUUUAAGUGCUCUCUCCUAACACCUUAAUGUAGGUUACACCAGGGUAAUGGAUAUUUAGGGAAGUUCUCGACAAUUCACAAAGGUUAUUAGUCUUGGAAGCAGAGAGAAGGGCAUUUAUACCCUCUCAUGUGAAGAAAUUAAUGGCGCCUUUCUGUUCUGAUUGUAGUUUAUUAAAAUUUUAAACCAUCA